rnacentral:lncRNA from 1 species
AAAUUAAUGCUAGUGAAACAAAAAAUUAGUAUCAUGAAACCAAGACCAAUGAAUUAAAUUGCAGUACAGCAGUUCACUCAAAACUUGCUGAAACAGGAAUUUGCAUAUAUACCACUUUGGAAAAAAUCAACAUCUUAUUUUGAAAAUAAACUAGAAGAUACUUAUAAUAACAACAAUGGUCUUUUGCAAGAUUGCAGUGCAGCAGUUCACCCAAGGCUUGCUGAGACAGGAAUUUGCAUU